GACGAACGCUGGCGGCGUGCCUAAUACAUGCAAGUCGAACGCAGUGGGGACGGGUGAGUAACACGUGGGUAACCUCCCAUCAGAGGGGAUAACACUUGGCAACAGGUGCUAAACCGAUACUGAUGGAUGGACCCGCGGUGCAUUAGCUAGUUGGUGAGGUAACGGCUCACCAAGGCCACGAUGCAUAGCCGUCCUUGGAGGGUUAACGGCCACACUGGGACUGAGACACGGCCCAGAAUCCGACGGGAGGCAGCACUAGGGGAAUUUCGGCAAUGGAAGAAAGGCUGAACGAGCAACCCCGCGUGAGUGAAGAAGGGUUUCGGAUAGUAAAACUUGUUUGUUAGAGAAGCGGUAUCUAACCAGAAAGCCACGGCUAACUACGUGCCAGCAGCCGCGGUAAUAC
rnacentral:rRNA from 1 species